AAAUUGAAGAGUUUGAUCAUGGCUCAGAUUGAACGCUGGCGGCAGGCCUAACACAUGCAAGUCGAACGGUAACAGGAAGCAGCUUGCUGCUUUGCUGACGAGUGGCGGACGGGUGAGUAAUGUCUGGGAAACUGCCUGAUGGAGGGGGAUAACUACUGGAAACGGUAGCUAAUACCGCAUAACGUCGCAAGACCAAAGAGGGGGACCUUCGGGCCUCUUGCCAUCGGAUGUGCCCAGAUGGGAUUAGCUAGUAGGUGGGGUAACGGCUCACCUAGGCGACGAUCCCUAGCUGGUCUGAGAGGAUGACCAGCCACACUGGAACUGAGACACGGUCCAGACUCCUACGGGAGGCAGCAGUGGGGAAUAUUGCACAAUGGGCGCAAGCCUGAUGCAGCCAUGCCGCGUGUAUGAAGAAGGCCUUCGGGUUGUAAAGUACUUUCAGCGGGGAGGAAGGGAGUAAAGUUAAUACCUUUGCUCAUUGACGUUACCCGCAGAAGAAGCACCGGCUAACUCCGUGCCAGCAGCCGCGGUAAUACGGAGGGUGCAAGCGUUAAUCGGAAUUACUGGGCGUAAAGCGCACGCAGGCGGUUUGUUAAGUCAGAUGUGAAAUCCCCGGGCUCAACCUGGGAACUGCAUCUGAUACUGGCAAGCUUGAGUCUCGUAGAGGGGGGUAGAAUUCCAGGUGUAGCGGUGAAAUGCGUAGAGAUCUGGAGGAAUACCGGUGGCGAAGGCGGCCCCCUGGACGAAGACUGACGCUCAGGUGCGAAAGCGUGGGGAGCAAACAGGAUUAGAUACCCUGGUAGUCCACGCCGUAAACGAUGUCGACUUGGAGGUUGUGCCCUUGAGGCGUGGCUUCCGGAGCUAACGCGUUAAGUCGACCGCCUGGGGAGUACGGCCGCAAGGUUAAAACUCAAAUGAAUUGACGGGGGCCCGCACAAGCGGUGGAGCAUGUGGUUUAAUUCGAUGCAACGCGAAGAACCUUACCUGGUCUUGACAUCCACGGAAGUUUUCAGAGAUGAGAAUGUGCCUUUGGGAACCGUGAGACAGGUGCUGCAUGGCUGUCGUCAGCUCGUGUUGUGAAAUGUUGGGUUAAGUCCCGCAACGAGCGCAACCCUUAUCCUUUGUUGCCAGCGGUCCGGCCGGGAACUCAAAGGAGACUGCCAGUGAUAAACUGGAGGAAGGUGGGGAUGACGUCAAGUCAUCAUGGCCCUUACGACCAGGGCUACACACGUGCUACAAUGGCGCAUACAAAGAGAAGCGACCUCGCGAGAGCAAGCGGACCUCAUAAAGUGCGUCGUAGUCCGGAUUGGAGUCUGCAACUCGACUCCAUGAAGUCGGAAUCGCUAGUAAUCGUGGAUCAGAAUGCCACGGUGAAUACGUUCCCGGGCCUUGUACACACCGCCCGUCACACCAUGGGAGUGGGUUGCAAAAGAAGUAGGUAGCUUAACCUUCGGGAGGGCGCUUACCACUUUGUGAUUCAUGACUGGGGUGAAGUCGUAACAAGGUAACCGUAGGGGAACCUGCGGUUGGAUCACCUCCUUACCUUAAAGAAGC
rnacentral:rRNA from 1 species